CAUCUCACUGUCAUAGACUUUCCUUAACUAUUCCAUUUUCUUCGCCAAUAGUUUUUAGUUUUUCAUGAGAGUAGUGCUGUGGGGCGCCUCUUUAGUUCAUACAAAAAAGCCUUUUUAGCUUCCAUAUCACAUGAGAGGGCUGGUGCAAUGGUAGGUGGUCAAAUGCUAGGUUACCAAGGUCAGUAUUUUAUGAGUCCAAAAGAUUUUCGGUAA
rnacentral:lncRNA from 1 species